rnacentral:rRNA from 1 species
AUUGAACGCUGGCGGCAUGCUUUACACAUGCAAGUCGAACGGUAACAGGCCGCAAGGUGCUGACGAGUGGCGAACGGGUGAGUAAUGCAUCGGAACGUGCCCAGUCGUGGGGGAUAACUACUCGAAAGAGUAGCUAAUACCGCAUACGAUCUAUGGAUGAAAACGGGGGACCGUAAGGCCUCGCGCGAUUGGAGCGGCCGAUGUCAGAUUAGGUAGUUGGUGGGGUAAAGGCUCACCAAGCCAACGAUCUGUAGCUGGUCUGAGAGGACGACCAGCCACACUGGGACUGAGACACGGCCCAGACUCCUACGGGAGGCAGCAGUGGGGAAUUUUGGACAAUGGGCGCAAGCCUGAUCCAGCAAUGCCGCGUGCAGGAAGAAGGCCUUCGGGUUGUAAACUGCUUUUGUACGGAACGAAACGGCUCUGGUUAAUACCCGGGGCUAAUGACGGUACCGUAAGAAUAAGCACCGGCUAACUACGUG